GUGUCAGCAGCCGCGGUAAUACGAACCGUCCAAACGUUAUUCGGAAUCACUGGGCUUAAAGGGUGCGUAGGCGGUCCGGUAAGUUGGGUGUGAAAUCCCACGGCUCAACCGUGGAAUUGCGCUCAAAACUGUCGGACUUGAGGGAGAUAGAGGUGAGCGGAACUUAGGGUGGAGCGGUGAAAUGCGUUGAUAUCCUAAGGAACACCGGUGGCGAAAGCGGCUCACUGGGUCUUUACUGACGCUGAGGCACGAAAGCUAGGGUAGCGAAGAGGAUUAGAAACCCCUGUAGUCC
rnacentral:rRNA from 1 species